CAUGCUACUGGAGCUGUUUGGCAUCGCAGGCAGCUGUUUGUGGCUACGCCUACCACUAUUGAAUGUGUCUUUGUGGAUGCGGGAGUUUCUGAAAUUGAUAUAGAGACUAGGAAGAUGAAGGAAGAAAUGAAACUUAAGGAAGCCCAGGCUAGAGCAGUUGCAGAGCAUGGAGAGUUGGCCUUAAUCACUGUAGAAGGUUCCCAGUCUGCGAAGCAAGAAAGGAUAUCUUUAAGGCCUCCCAUGCUACAGGUGGUGCGUUUGGCUUCUUUCCAAAAUG